rnacentral:lncRNA from 1 species
GGGAAAUUUGUUUCCAUAUUGUUAGAAAAGCUGUAGUUAUCUUCUUUAGAAACUAUGCUUUGAACCUCCAAGGCAUCAUGAGCUGGUUCAGGUUCCUUUUGAGGUGAUCUUGCAGGUUUUGGUGUCCAUCUUGGGACAUUAACUGAAGAAUCCAUGCUUAAAUUUAAUCCUGGCAAAAAUUGAUGGAUAUGAGAUGAGAUGAGAUCAGAAGCUAUGACGAACUCGGAUUUGGGUUAUCAAUGACUGUAUAUGGAUGAAUAUGAUCAAUGACGAUAUCAUGGUGAAUACCUGAGUCAGGAGGAGGAUUAGUGCUCCUUGUAAAGCCAGUGCUAAACGGGAAAUUUGUUUCCAUAUUGUUAGAGAAGCUGUAGUUAUCUUCUUCGGAAACUAUGCUUCGAACCUUCAAGGCAUCAUGAGCAAGUUCAGGCUCCUUUUGAGGUGAUCUUGCAGGGCUAGGUAUCCAUCUUGGGACCUUAACUGCAGAAUCCAUGCUUAAAUUUAAUCCUGGAAAAAGUUGAUGGAUAUGAGAUGAGAUUGAGAUUAGAAGCUAUGGCGGAUUGGAUUUGGGUUAUCAAUGACUAUAAAUGGAUGAAUAUGAUCAAUGACGAUAUCAUGAUCAAUACCUGAGUCAGGAGGAGGGCUAGUGCUCCUUGUUAAGCCAGUGCUAAACGGGAAAUUUGUUUCCAUAUUGUUAGAAAAGCCGUAGUUAUCUUCUUCAGAAACUAUGCUUUGAACCUCCAAGGCAUCAUGAGCUGGUUCAGGCUCCUUUUGAGGUGAUCUUGCAGGGUUUGGUGUCCAUCUUGGGACUUUAACUGAAGAAUCCAUGCUUAAAUUUAAUCCUGGCAAAAAUUGAUGGAUAUGAGAUGAGAUGAGAUCAGAAGCUAUGAAGAACUCGGAUUUGGGUUAUCAAUGACUAUAUAUGGAUGAAUAUGAUCAAUGACGAUAUCAUGGUGAAUACCUGAGCCAGGAGGAGGGUUAGUGCUCCUUGUAAAGCCAGUGCUAAACGGGAAAUUUGUUUCCAUAUUGUUAGAGAAGCUGUAGUUAUCUUCUUCAGAAACUAGGCUUCGAACCUUCGAGGCAUCAUGAGCAAGUUCAGGCUCCUUUUGAGGUGAUCUUGCAGGGCUAGGUAUCCAUCUUGGGACCUUAACUGCAGAAUCCAUGCUUAAAUUUAACCCUGGAAAAAGUUGAUGGAUAUAAGAUGAGAUUGAGAUUAGAAGCUAUGGCGGAUUGGAUUUGGGUUAACAAUGACUAUAAAUGGAUGAAUAUGAUCAAUCACUAUAUCAUGAUCAAUACCUGAGUCAGGAUGAGGGUUAGUGCUCCUUGUUAAGCCAGUACUAAACGGGAAAUUUGUUUCCAUAUUGUUAGAAAAGCUGUAGUUAUCUUGUUCAGAAACUAUGCUUUGAACCUCCAAGGCAUCAUGAACUGGUUCAGGCUCCUUUCGAGGUGAUCUUGCAGGGUUUGGUGUCCAUCUUGGGACAUUAACUGAAGAAUCCAUGCUUAAAUUUAAUCCUGGCAAAAGUUGGUGGAUAUGAGUUGAGAUUAGAUCAGAAGCUAUGAAGAACUCGGAUUUGGGUUAUCAAUGACUAUAUAUGGAUGAAUAUGAUCAUUGACGAUAUCAUGCUGAAUACCUGAGUCAGGAGGAGGGUUAGUGCUCCUUGUAAAGCCAGUGCUAAACGGGAAAUUUAUUUCCAUAUUGUUAGAGAAGCUGUAGUUAUCUUCUUCAGAAACUAUGCUCCGAACCAUCAAGGCAUCAUGAGCAAGUUCAGGCUCCUUUUGAGGUGAUCUUGCAGGGCUAGGUGUCCAUCUUGGGACCUUAACUGCAGAAUCCAUGCUUAAAUUUAAUCCUGGAAAAAGUUGAUGGAUAUGAGAUGAGAUUGAGAUUAGAAGCUAUGGCGGAUUGGAUUUGGGUUAUCAAUGAUUAUAAAUGGAUGAAUAUGAUCAAUGACUAUAUCAUGAUCACUACCUGAGUCAGAAGGAGGGUUAGUGCUCCUUGUAAAGCCAGUGCUAAACGGGAAAUUUGUUUCCAUAUUGUUAGAAAAGCUGUAGUUAUCUUCUUCAGAAACUAUGCUUUGAACUUCUAAGGCAUCAUGAGCUGGUUCAGGCUCCUUUUGAGGUGAUCUUGCAGGGUUUGGUGUCCAUCUUGGGACAUUAACUGAAGAAUCCAUGCUUAAAUUUAAUCCUGGCAAAAAUUGAUGGUUAUGAGAAGAGAUGAGAUCAGAAGCUAUGAAGAACUCGG